rnacentral:lncRNA from 1 species
AAUAGAGGAAGAUGGGCAUGGAUGUCAGCUCAGUGCCAGUCUUCCUCAGCAAAAAGAGGAGGAUUGGUGAUGGAUGUUAGCUCAGGGCUAAUCUUCCUUAAAAAAACCUCCCACAACCAGGAAAUUGACAUUGGCACAAUGCGUUUGUAUAGUCCUAUGCCGUUUUAUCACCUGCGGAGAUUCCUGUAACCAUAACUGCAAUCGAAAUACAGAACUAUUCCAUUACCACAAAGAUCUCCUUUAUGCCACCCCUUUGUAAUUACACAUACUCCGUUCCCCCACUUACCAUUUAACCUCUGACAACCACUAAUCUGUGUUCCAGCUCUAUACUUUUGUCAUUUUGAGAAUGUUAUAUAAAUGGAAUCAUACAGUAUGUGGCCUUUUGAGAUUGGCUUUUCUCACUCCACAUAAUGCCCUUGAGAUCUAGCCAAGUGGUUGCAUGGAUUAGUAGUUUGUUUUUAAAAACUUUUAUUUUGAAAUUAUUAUAGAUUCACAGGAUAUUGCAAAAACAGUACAGAGAAGCCCUGUGUACCUUUCACUCAGUUUUUCCCAAUGGUACCAUCUUAGAUAACUGUAGUACAGUAUCAAAAUCAGAAAACUGACACUGGUGCAAGUCACAGACCUUAUUCAGGUUUCAGCACUUUUGCGUGGACUCAUUUGUGUGUGUUUGUGUCUGUGUGUAGUUCUAUGCAAUUUUAACACGUGUAGAUUCAUGUGGCCAACACCACAAUGAAGAUUCAGAACUAUUCCAUCACCACAAAGAUCCCCAUGUUACCCCUUUACAGUCAUAAUGUCAUAUAAGUGAAAUUGUGCAUAUGUAACCUUUUGAGAUUGACUUUUUUUCGCUCAGCAUAAUCCCCUUCAGAUCCAUCCAAGUGGUUGCGUGUAUCAAUAGAUGGUUCCUUUCUAUUGCAGAGUUGUAUUUCGUGGUGUGGAGGUACCAUAGUUUGUUUAAUCAUUCAUUCAUUGUAGGAUGUUUUGCUUGUUUCCAGUUUGGGGCUAUUACAAAGAAAUCUACUAUGAACAAUCAUGUACAAAAAUUGUGUAAAAAGAAAAAAAAAGCCCAGGCUCCAGACUAAGUAAAUCAGGAUCUCAGGAGUGAAGCCCAGACAUCAACAUUUUUUUUAAAGUUUCCCAAAAAAUUCUCAUGUGUAUCAAGGAUUUCUAAAACCAAAGUAGGUUUUAGAAAUCUGCAAAAAUCAUUUAUUAGUAACAGUUAUACUUAUUAUGCACCUACAAGAUGCUAGGCAUUGUACUCAUUUAAAGCUCUUAAUAAGCCUUUGGGAUAUAUAUUACUAUUCUCCCUUCUCAUCUGAGAAGACCGAGGGGUGGACAAAAUGAGUGAAGGUGGUAAAAAGGUAUAAACUUCCUGUUAUGAAAU